GUCGACUCAUCGGCCAGAACCCUGUCCAGUAUCCAGAAGCCAAGCCGGGUGUGGGCCAGAUGGUUUCUAGCGCAACGGGAAGAGAAUGCAAGGGAGGCAGAGCAGGUAUGAAUAUUACCAUUUUACAGAUGUAGGAACUGAGAUCCAGGGUGGUGGAGUGCCUUAGCCAAGGUCAUGUAAGUUGGAUGCACGUGUCAACCGAAGUCUGACUCAUCAGGGAUCUAGGGAGCAAUGCACCGGCACCCUCCAAGGAACACCUGGACAACUUCACCAUCUACAAGGAAUCCAUGUUGAAUUUGGACUCUACAUUGGACAUCCUUCAUGACAAUAGUAAACCUCUUUGGCUAUCAUACAUCUCCCUGUUUGAUACCUCAUUUGAUGUUAAUAAUCAGAGGGUUGUUGAACAAGAUUUCUUCGUUCAGGAAACUUCAUAUGAAUUCAACCUAUACAUGGGAGACAAAUUGGUGGAGAAGAUUCUUUAAAGUAGCAUUUUUCUGUAUAGCAUCAAAUACCUUUUAUGGUCAAUAAACAGUAAG